rnacentral:tRNA from 1 species
UCCCUGGUGGCUCAGAUGGUAAAGAAACUGCCUACGAGGCAGGGGACCCAGGUUCGAUCCCUGGAUUGGGAA